rnacentral:rRNA from 1 species
ACGGAGGGUGCAAACGUUGCUCGGAAUCAUUGGGCGUAAAGCGCACGUAGGCGGUCCGUUAUGUCGGGUGUGAAAGCCCUCGGCUCAACCGAGGAAGUGCAUUCGAAACUGGCGGACUUGAGUACCGGAGAGGGUCGCGGAAUUCCUGGUGUAGCGGUGAAAUGCGCAGAUAUCAGGAGGAACACCGAUGGCGAAGGCAGGUCUCUGGGCAUUAACUGACGCUGAGGAGCGAAAGCAUGGGGAGCGAACAGGA